AUAUAUAUGAACGCGAAUUGAUCAAUGCUCAUAAUGCGACUCGUGAACAUGUCGAAGCGAUUGCUGUUUCGUCGAAGCGAAAUUCUGCGAGAGAGAAAGAGAUAUACGAUCUCAGUCUACCCAACAGAUUGUCAAUUUUAGGAUUAGGUGCAACAACAUUGAACGACAUAGAUACAUAAAGAAAAAAGAUAUGUUAUGAAAAUAAUUCCGAAAGACACAGAUGCCGAAUGAAUUAGUUAAAGAAUAUAAAUGGCAAAUAUAAAAAUUGAACACCGUCAA